rnacentral:misc_RNA from 1 species
GAUGAAGAACGCAGCGAAAUGCGAUAAGUAAUGUGAAUUGCAGAAUUCAGUGAAUCAUCGAAUCUUUGAACGCACCUUGCACUCCUUGGUAUUCCGAGGAGUACGCCUGUUCGAGUGUUAUGAAGCUCUCAAAACGCAAUUGGCUUAAAACCUGAUUGUUGUUUUGGAUUUGAACUUUGCCGUGUUAUAACGGCUGGUUUUAAAAGUAUUAGCUGGUACUAGAACGAAUUGGUUCUACUCAACGUGAUAAUUAUCUGAUCGUUGAGGACAUUCCUAUCACGAGGAAUGGCCAUAGUAAAUUCAAUGGACUGCUUCUAAUCUGGCUUUAAUUCUUUAUUGGAUUAACCACUUUUCAAAUCUGACCUCGAAUCAGGUGGGACUACCCGCUGAACUUAAGCAUAUCAAUAAGCGGAGGA